rnacentral:rRNA from 1 species
ACGACUACACUCCUACGGGAGGCAGCAGUGGGGAAUUUUGGACAAUGGGGGCAACCCUGAUCCAGCCAUGCCGCGUGAGUGAUGAAGGCCUUAGGGUUGUAAAGCUCUUUUAUCCGGGACGAUAAUGACGGUACCGGAGGAAUAAGCCCCGGCUAACUUCGUGCCAGCAGCCGCGGUAAUACGAAGGGGCUAGCGUUGCUCGGAAUCACUGGGCGUAAAGGGCGCGUAGGCGGCGUUUUAAGUCGGGGGUGAAAGCCUGUGGCUCAACCACAGAGUGGCCUUCGAUACUGGGACGCUUGAGUAUGGUAGAGGUUGGUGGAGCUGCGAGUGUAGAGGUGAAAUUCGUAGAUAUUCGCAAGAACACCGGUGGCGAAGGCGGCCAACUGGACCAUUACUGACGCUGAGGCACGAAAGCGUGGGGAGCAAACAGGAUUAGAAACCCUGGUAGUCCACCAAUCC